rfam:Nematostella vectensis strain CH2 x CH6 NEMVEscaffold_1093_Cont34989, whole genome shotgun sequence.
CGAUAGCUCAGUUGGUAGAGCGGGGGACUGUAGAUUUAUAAUUGUGAUCCCUAGGUCGCUGGUUCGAAUCCGGCUCG